rnacentral:piRNA from 1 species
UCCAAUGUUCUAGUCAACCAGUGUCACAGU